GACGAACGCUGGCGGCGUGCUUAACACAUGCAAGUCGAACGGUAAGGCCUUUCGGGGUACACGAGCGGCGAACGGGUGAGUAACACGUGGGUGAUCUGCCCUGCACUUCGGGAUAAGCCCGGGAAACUGGGUCUAAUACCGGAUAGGACUGCGCGGUGCAUGCCGUGUGGUGGAAAGAUUUAUCGGUGCAGGAUGGGCCCGCGGCCUAUCAGCUUGUUGGUGGGGUAAUGGCCUACCAAGGCGACGACGGGUAGCCGGCCUGAGAGGGCGACCGGCCACACUGGGACUGAGACACGGCCCAGACUCCUACGGGAGGCAGCAGUGGGGAAUAUUGCACAAUGGGCGCAAGCCUGAUGCAGCGACGCCGCGUGAGGGAUGACGGCCUUCGGGUUGUAAACCUCUUUCAGCAGGGACGAAGCGUGAGUGACGGUACCUGCAGAAGAAGCACCGGCCAACUACGUG
rnacentral:rRNA from 1 species